UGGGGAAUCUUGCGCAAUGGACGAAAGUCUGACGCAGCAACGCCGCGUGAGGGACGAAGGCUUUCUGAGUUGUAAACCUCUUUCGACAGGAACGAUUGUGACGGUACCUGUAGAAGAAGCACCGGCCAACUAUGUGCCAGCAGCCGCGGUGAUACAUAGGGUGCGAGCGUUAUUCGGAUUUAUUGGGCGUAAAGAGCUCGUAGGCGGUUCGACAAGUCGGGUGUUAAACCCCCAGGCUCAACCUGGGGCCGCCACCCGAAACUGUUGUGACUAGAGUUUGGUAGGGGAUCACGGAAUUCCUGGUGUAGCGGUGGAAUGCGCAGAUACCAGGAGGAACACCAGUAGCGAAGGCGGUGAUCUGGGCCAAUACUGACGCUGAGGAGCGAAAGCGUGGGGAGCGAACAGG
rnacentral:rRNA from 1 species